AUGGGCUCUACAGGCUCCAGGUCCAGGCUCAGUCAGGUGGCCCCGUGUCACAGUCAGACAGAGGGAGACCUGGACCAGCAGGCCAGUCAUCCCACUUCACAUUGGACCAUCCCUGCCAUACCAACCCCACUGGAGCAUCAACAUGAGCCGCUGGGACAUAGGAGGACUACCCAGCUGCCCCCACUGAAACUGGAAAACCCUGCAACCUUCCCACCGCUAUCUACAGGGCAGGGACCGGAGAGAUGGGGGUGUCCUCCACUUUUCUACACCCAGCCAGGGGGCACACGGUGGCACCGGCCGCCUGCCGCAGGGAGGUCUCCUGGAGGCACAGAUGGUCCUCAGUCAACAGGCCCAGCAGAGACAGAGAGCCCACCAGAGACAAGUCAGAGAACAGCGGGAGCACGAGAGGAUCUUCUAUACAGAUAAUU
rnacentral:lncRNA from 1 species